rnacentral:rRNA from 1 species
AACUAAUGCUGGUGGUAUGCUUAACACAUGCAAGUCGAACGGACUUUAAGGAGCUUGCUCUUUAAAGUUAGUGGCAAACGGGUGAGUAAUGUAUAAGAAUCUACCUCGCAGUAUGGAAUAACUUUGGGAAACUAAAGAUAAUACCGUAUAUUACCAUUUAUUUGGGAAAGAUUUAUCGCUGUGAGAUGAGCUUAUAUCAGAUUAGCUAGUUGGUAGGGUAAUGGCCUACCAAGGCAAUGAUCUGUAGCUGGUCUGAGAGGACGACCAGCCACACUGGAACUGCGACACGGUCCAG